UGGACUCAGUUUGACAUCUGUCACAGUCGCUGUUACCCACAUUGGGCCAAUGUUGUUAGUCAUUGUUUAACGUUCGUGGUAAUCGUUGUAGAAAGCGGCAUACUCAAUAUCGUCGGGUUCAUUCUUUGUAUGUUUCGUAGAUCUGCGGCAGCAUCGAUCAUUACCUAGAAAUCAUCAUCAAUCGUCAAUUUAAUAUUGCUUAAAACAAAAUUAAAUGAAUAACUGAAUUGAAUUGAAUACAACGUGUUUUGAGUUUGAAAAUAAGAAAAGAAACAACAGGAUUGUGAUUUUUUUUAAAACAAGUUCGUGUUGGAUGACUUCAAAUGAAAUGAUCAUUUACCAGGACAUUAUGUGAAACACUUGAAAUAUACAUAUAUUCUUAAAAUGUAAGUACUUUCUUUUUGGGGUGUAAAUAUAAGAUUUUGGGCGUUGUUUUCAAUGGG